GUGUAUAUUAUACAGUACUAGCUGUGUUACCCGUUCAACGCACGGGUAAUAGAGAUGAAUUUUAGCCAUGUCAUUGUAUAUUUCAUGUCACUUUAGUUAAGGUGUAGUAAGUUGCAUUGC